CGGGACUUAGUCUAGGGUCAGCAUUUGGUGGUGAGAUGAAGCCUAGGGCGGGGCUUAGUGAUGCGCGUGGUCGAGCGGGGGCGGGGCUGCCAGAGGGCGGGACCAAUCGUUUACUUCGGCGCGGUCCCCCAGAACAUCAGAACUUCUUCGGGAUGGACGAGUCGCUGGGCCCGGUGGCAGUGAGCCUGCGGCGGGAGGAGAAGGAGGGCAGCGGAGGGGGCACCCUGCACAGCUACCGCGUCAUCGUGCGGACCACGCAGCUCCGGACCCUCCGUGGCACCAUCUCGGAGGACGCGCUGCCGCCGGGGCCCCCACGGGGUCUGUCCCCAAGGAAACUUCUGGAGCACGUGG
rnacentral:sRNA from 1 species